ACUAGUGAGCCACAGCUGUAUGGGAGAAAAAUAACUCUGGGAUAUAAAGCACUACUGAAUGACACAUACCCUUCAGGACAGCUGCAGGAGAUGAUCUAAAAUGGAGCACACCUCGUGCACAAAGGACCGUAUGCACCACGCCCUGGACAGGUGCCUUUAUGGCCUGGGCCACAGCUUUCCCAACACAUAGCCCUGGAAUGCUGGCCUGUGCAUAAACCACUGUAGUUUAGAGGAACUAGUGAAGAGAGAUCCAUGAAACUUCAUCAUCAAGCUGCAGCAGAUUCUGAGGAAAACA